GCAAAGAACUGUUGAGUCCCACUUAACCUGACUUACAGACUCCUGCCUCUUGUAAGGACCGUUCUGAGCUUCAACCAUGAAGGCCUUUCUCCUCCUCGUUGCCAUCUUCCUGUUUUCCCACCAGGCAACUGCAGGAAUUGGCCAAAGUGACCCUGCUAACCUUGCUUGUUUUCAAAGUGGUGGCUCCUGUAAAGUCUCAUGUCCAUUCCCUUCUGUAGCUUCAGGAGACUGUUUUGGUAGUCUGGUCUGCUGUAAAUGGCCCCGUCCAGGUCCAGCUUAAAUUAUCAGGAAAACUUUGAAGAACCUGAACAGUUCUGAAGAAGAUAUUGAAACUUAGUGGCUGGAUGGUGUGCAGGCAAUUCUCCUGAGAUACAAAUACUUUGAUGGAAUAUAUAAUCUGGAAAAAGAUAACAGUUAAACAUAUUGUUCUGUAUAUUAAAGAUCUAUAAUAGCAA